rnacentral:rRNA from 1 species
AUUGAACGCUGGCGGCAGGCCUAACACAUGCAAGUCGAGCGGAUGAAGGGAGCUUGCUCCUGGAUUCAGCGGCGGACGGGUGAGUAAUGCCUAGGAAUCUGCCUGGUAGUGGGGGAUAACGUCCGGAAACGGGCGCUAAUACCGCAUACGUCCUGAGGGAGAAAGUGGGGGAUCUUCGGACCUCACGCUAUCAGAUGAACCUAGGUCGGAUUAGCUAGUUGGUGGGGUAAAGGCCUACCAAGGCGACGAUCCGUAACUGGUCUGAGAGGAUGAUCAGUCACACUGGAACUGAGACACGGUCCAGACUCCUACGGGAGGCAGAAGUGGGGAAUAUUGGACAAUGGGCGAAAGCCUGAUCCAGCCAUGCCGCGUGUGUGAAGAAGGUCUUCGGAUUGUAAAGCACUUUAAGUGGGGAGGAAGGGCAGUAAGUUAAUAACUUGCUGUUUUGACGUUACCAACAGAAUAAGCACCGGCUAACUUCGUG